rnacentral:rRNA from 1 species
GCCUAACACAUGCAAGUCGAGCGGUAGAGAGAAGCUUGCUUCUCUUGAGAGCGGCGGACGGGUGAGUAAUGCCUAGGAAUCUGCCUGGUAGUGGGGGAUAACGUUCGGAAACGAACGCUAAUACCGCAUACGUCCUACGGGAGAAAGCAGGGGACCUUCGGGCCUUGCGCUAUCAGAUGAGCCUAGGUCGGAUUAGCUAGUUGGUGAGGUAAUGGCUCACCAAGGCGACGAUCCGUAACUGGUCUGAGAGGAUGAUCAGUCACACUGGAACUGAGACACGGUCCAGACUCCUACGGGAGGCAGCAGUGGGGAAUAUUGGACAAUGGGCGAAAGCCUGAUCCAGCCAUGCCGCGUGUGUGAAGAAGGUCUUCGGAUUGUAAAGCACUUUAAGUUGGGAGGAAGGGCAGUUACCUAAUACGUGAUUGUUUUGACGUUACCGACAGAAUAAGCACCGGCUAACUCUGUGCCAGCAGCCGCGGUAAUACAGAGGGUGCAAGCGUUAAUCGGAAUUACUGGGCGUAAAGCGCGCGUAGGUGGUUUGUUAAGUUGGAUGUGAAAUCCCCGGGCUCAACCUGGGAACUGCAUUCAAAACUGACUGACUAGAGUAUGGUAGAGGGUGGUGGAAUUUCCUGUGUAGCGGUGAAAUGCGUAGAUAUAGGAAGGAACACCAGUGGCGAAGGCGACCACCUGGACUAAUACUGACACUGAGGUGCGAAAGCGUGGGGAGCAAACAGGAUUAGAUACCCUGGUAGUCCACGCCGUAAACGAUGUCAACUAGCCGUUGGAAGCCUUGAGCUUUUAGUGGCGCAGCUAACGCAUUAAGUUGACCGCCUGGGGAGUACGGCCGCAAGGUUAA